UACAGAGGGUGCGAGCGUUGUCCGGAAUUACUGGGCGUAAAGGGCGCGUAGGCGGCUUGGUAAGUCGGGGGUGAAAGUCAGCGGCUCAACCGCUGGACUGCCUUCGAGACUGCCUGGCUUGAGCAUGGUAGAGGCUGGCGGAAUUCCCGGUGUAGCGGUGGAAUGCGUAGAGAUCGGGAAGAACAUCGGUGGCGAAGGCGGCCAGCUGGGCCAUUGCUGGCGCUGAUGCGCGACAGCGUGGGGAGCAAACAGG
rnacentral:rRNA from 1 species